rnacentral:rRNA from 1 species
UACGUAGGGUCCAAGCGUUGUCCGGAAUUAUUGGGCGUAAAGAGCUCGUAGGCGGUUUGUCGCGUCGACUGUGAAAACCUACAGCUUAACUGUGGGCUUGCAGUCGAUACGGGCAGACUUGAGUUCGGUAGGGGAGACUGGAAUUCCUGGUGUAGCGGUGAAAUGCGCAGAUAUCAGGAGGAACACCGGUGGCGAAGGCGGGUCUCUGGGCCGAUACUGACGCUGAGGAGCGAAAGCGUGGGGAGCGAACAGG